rnacentral:rRNA from 1 species
CCUACGGGGGGCAGCAGUGGGGAAUAUUGGGCAAUGGGCGAAAGCCUGACCCAGCAACGCCGCGUGAAGGAAGAAGGCUUUCGGGUUGUAAACUUCUUUUGACAGGGAAGAGCAGAAGACGGUACCUGUCGAAUAAGCCACGGCUAACUACGUGCCAGCAGCCGCGGUAAUACGUAGGUGGCAAGCGUUAUCCGGAUUUAUUGGGUUUAAAGGGUGCGUAGGCGGACUGUUAAGUCAGCGGUAAAAGCCCGGGGCUCAACCCCGGCGAGCCGUUGAAACUGGCUGUCUUGAGAUGUCGAGAGGUA